rnacentral:rRNA from 1 species
GACGAACGCUGGCGGCGUGCCUAAUACAUGCAAGUUGAGCGCUGAAGGUUGGUACUUGUACCAACUGGAUGAGCAGCGAACGGGUGAGUAACGCGUGGGGAAUCUGCCUUUGAGCGGGGGACAACAUUUGGAAACGAAUGCUAAUACCGCAUAAAAACUUUAAACACAAGUUUUAAGUUUGAAAGAUGCAAUUGCAUCACUCAAAGAUGAUCCCGCGUUGUAUUAGCUAGUUGGUGAGGUAAAGGCUCACCAAGGCGAUGAUACAUAGCCGACCUGAGAGGGUGAUCGGCCACAUUGGGGCUGAGACACGGCCCAAACUCCUACGGGAGGCAGCAGUAGGGAAUCUUCGGCAAUGGACGAAAGUCUGACCGAGCAACGCCGCGUGAGUGAAGAAGGGUUUCGGAUCGUAAAACUCUGUUGGUAGAGAAGAACGUUGGUGAGAGUGGAAAGCUCAUCAAGUGACGGUAACUACCCAGAAAGGGACGGCUAACUACGUG